rnacentral:rRNA from 1 species
GCAACCCUCGCCUCUAGUUGCCAGCAUUCGGUUGGGCACUCUAGAGGGACUGCCGGCGACAAGUCGGAGGAAGUGGGAUGACGUCAAAUCAUCAUGCCCUUAUGACCUGGGCUACACACGUGCUACAAUGGGCGGUACAAAGGGCUGCGAACCCGCGAGGGGAGCGAAUCCCAAAAAGCCGCUCUCAGUUCGGAUUGCAGGCUGCAACUCGCCUGCAUGAAGCCGGAAUCGCUAGUAAUCGCGGAUCAGCAUGCCGCGGUGAAUACGUUCCCGGGCCUU